CACGCCGUAAACGAUGAAUACUAGGUGUAGGGGGUAUCGACCCCCCCUGUGCCGCAGUUAACACAAUAAGUAUUCCGCCUGGGGAGUACGACCGCAAGGUUGAAACUCAAAGGAAUUGACGGGGACCCGCACAAGCGGUGGAGCAUGUGGUUUAAUUCGACGCAACGCGAAGAACCUUACCAGGGCUUGACAUCCCUUGACCGCCAUGGAAACAUGGUUUUCGGGCCUUCGGGCCUGACAAGGAGACAGGUGG
rnacentral:rRNA from 1 species